GCGGCCGUAGUCUAGCCUGGACUAGGACCCCGGCCUUCCACGCCGGUGACCCGGGUUCGAAUCCCGGCGGCCGCACCA
rnacentral:tRNA from 1 species